CGGCGAGUAGCGCAGCUUGGAGCGCAACUGGUUUGGGACCAGUGGGUCGGAGGUUCGAAUCCUCUCUCGCCGACCA
rnacentral:tRNA from 1 species